rnacentral:rRNA from 1 species
ACUCCUACGGGAGGCAGCAGUGGGGAAUAUUGCACAAUGGGGGAAACCCUGAUGCAGCAACGCCGCGUGAAGGAAGACGGUUUUCGGAUUGUAAACUUCUAUCGAUAGGGACGAAAAAAAUGACGGUACCUAAAUAAGAAGCCCCGGCUAACUACGUGCCAGCAGCCGCGGUAAUACGUAGGGGGCAAGCGUUAUCCGGAAUUACUGGGUGUAAAGGGUGAGUAGGCGGCAUGAUAAGUAAGAUGUGAAAGCCCGCAGCUUAACUGCGGGAUUGCAUUUUAAACUAUUGAGCUAGAGUACAGGAGAGGAAAGCGGAAUUCCCAGUGUAGCGGUGAAAUGCGUAGAUAUUGGGAAGAACACCAGUGGCGAAGGCGGCUUUUUGGACUGAAACUGACGCUGAGGCACGAAAGCGUGGGGAGCGAACAGGAUUAGAUACCCUGGUAGUC